CACGUGAGUAACCUGCCCCUGACUCUGGGAUAAGCCCGGGAAACUGGGUCUAAUACCGGAUAUGACUUUUGACCGCAUGGUUGAGGGUGGAAAGAUUUAUCGGUUGGGGAUGGACUCGCGGCCUAUCAGCUUGUUGGUGAGGUAAUGGCUCACCAAGGCGACGACGGGUAGCCGGCCUGAGAGGGUGACCGGCCACACUGGGACUGAGACACGGCCCAGACUCCUACGGGAGGCAGCAGUGGGGAAUAUUGCACAAUGGGCGCAAGCCUGAUGCAGCGACGCCGCGUGAGGGAUGACGGCCUUCGGGUUGUAAACCUCUUUCAGUAGGGAAGAAGCGAAAGUGACGGUACCUGCAGAAGAAGCGCCGGCUAACUACGUG
rnacentral:rRNA from 1 species